rnacentral:rRNA from 1 species
AGCAGUAGCCACGGUAAUACGAAGGGGGCUAGCGUUGCUCGGAAUCACUGGGCGUAAAGGGUGCGUAGGCGGGUCUUUAAGUCAGGGGUGAAAUCCUGGAGCUCAACUCCAGAACUGCCUUUGAUACUGAAGAUCUUGAGUUCGGGAGAGGUGAGUGGAACUGCGAGUGUAGAGGUGAAAUUCGUAGAUAUUCGCAAGAACACCAGUGGCGAAGGCGGCUCACUGGCCCGAUACUGACGCUGAGGCACGAAAGCGUAGGGAGCAAACAGGAUUAGAUACCCGCGUAGUCCCUGUCUCUUAUAU